rnacentral:rRNA from 1 species
CCUGGUGGUUAUGGCGGGGUGGCUGCACCCGUUCCCUUUCCGAACACGGCCGUGAAACGCCCCUGCGCCCAUGGUACUUCGU